rnacentral:rRNA from 1 species
ACGGCUCAGUAACACGUGGAUAACCUGCCCUUGGGUCCGGCAUAACCCCGGGAAACUGGGGAUAAUUCCGGAUAACGCACAUAUGCUGGAAUGCUUUAUGCGUAAAAUGGAUUCGUCUGCCCAAGGAUGGGUCUGCGGCCUAUCAGGUAGUAGUGGGUGUAAUGUACCUACUAGCCAACAACGGGUACGGGUUGUGAGAGCAAGAGCCCGGAGAUGGAUUCUGAGACAUGAAUCCAGGCCCUACGGGGCGCAGCAGGCGCGAAAACUUUACAAUGCGGGAAACCGUGAUAAGGGGACACCGAGUGCCAGCAUCAUAUGCUGGCUGUCCAGGUGCGUAAACUACACCUGUUAGCAAGGGCCGGGCAAGACCGGUGCCAGCCGCCGCGGUAACACCGGCGGCCCGAGUGGUGAUCGUGAUUAUUGGGUCUAAAGGGUCCGUAGCCGGUUUGGUCAGUCCUCCGGGAAAUCUGAUAGCUCAACUAUUAGGCUUUCGGGGGAUACUGCCAGGCUUGGAACCGGGAGAGGUAAGAGGUACUACAGGGGUAGGAGUGAAAUCUUGUAAUCCCUGUGGGACCACCUGUGGCGAAGGCGUCUUACCAGAACGGGUUCGACGGUGAGGGACGAAAGCUGGGGGCACGAACCGGAUUAGAUACCCGGGUAGUCCCAGCCGUAAACGAUGCUCGCUAGGUGUCAGGCAUGGCGCGACCGUGUCUGGUGCCGCAGGGAAGCCGUGAAGCGAGCCACCUGGGAAGUACGGCCGCAAGGCUGAAACUUAAAGGAAUUGGCGGGGGAGCAC